GACGAACGCUGGCGGCGUGCCUAAUACAUGCAAGUUGAGCGCUGAAGGUUGGUACUUGUACCGACUGGAUGAGCAGCAAACGGGUGAGUAACGCGUGGGGAAUCUGCCUUUGAGCGGGGGACAACAUUUGGAAACGAAUGCUAAUACCGCAUAAAAACUUUAAACACAAGUUUUAAGUUUGAAAGAUGCAAUUGCAUCACUCAAAGAUGAUCCCGCGUUGUAUUAGCUAGUUGGUGAGGUAAAGGCUCACCAAGGCGAUGAUACAUAGCCGACCUGAGAGGGUGAUCGGCCACAUUGGGACGGAGACACGGCCCAAACUCCUACGGGAGGCAGCAGUAGGGAAUCUUCGGCAAUGGACGAAAGUCUGACCGAGCAACGCCGCGUGAGUGAAGAAGGUUUUCGGAUCGUAAAACUCUGUUGGUAGAGAAGAACGUUGGUGAGAGUGGAAAGCUCAUCAAGUGACGGUAACUACCCAGAAAGGGACGGCUAACUACGUG
rnacentral:rRNA from 1 species